UAUGUGAUCGUCUCUCGCAUAUCAAUAAGCGGAGGAAAAGAAACUAACAAGGAUUCCCCUAGUAACGGCGAGUGGAGCGGGAAGAGCUCAAAUUUGAAAUCUUAAAGGGUUUCCCUUUACGAAUUGUAGUUUAAAGAAGUGUUUUCUGUUGAGGUUUUGGUAAAAGUUCUUUGGAAUAGGACAUCAUAGAGGGUGAGAAUCCCGUAUUUGACCUUUACUUUCAACUUUGUGAUACACUUUCAAAGAGUCGGAUUGUUUGGGAAUGCAGUCCAAAAUGGGUGGUAAAUUUCAUCUAAAGCUAAAUAUUGGCGAGAGACCGAUAGCGAACAAGUACCGUGAGGGAAAGAUGAAAAGAACUUUGAAAAGAGAGUUAAACAGUACGUGAAAUUGUCAAAAGGGAAGCGUUUGACACCAGUGUUGUUUUUCUGAAAAUCAAUUAAAGAACUGUUUAUGCUAAGCUGUUUAGACUUUAUCAGCUAUCUGUUUAGUUUUGAGCUUUUCUUUAAUGCACUUUUCAGUUAACAAGUCAACAUCAAUUUCUUUUGCUGUAAAAAAGCUUGAGGAAGGUGGCUUGAGAUUCGUCUUAAGUGUUUAUAGCCUCUUGCCUAUGCAGUCGGAGAGAUUGAGGUCUGCAGCGUAGAUCCUUCGGGGCUAAAUGCAUUUGUGCUAAGUUAUAGCAUUUUAUAGACAACUUGUUGACUAUGAUUUGUCUUGUAGCUUACUCGCUUAUGUUAUUUUACCUACGCUUAGGAUGUUGAUAUGCAUGACUGAUAU
rnacentral:rRNA from 1 species